rnacentral:rRNA from 1 species
CUCCCGGUCGCUCUAUACAGGGCUAAACGUGCUACAUUGGACGGCACAAAGAGCUGCAAGACCGCGAGUUGUAGCUAAUCUCAUAAAACCGUUCUCAGUUCGGAUUGUAGGCUGCAACUCGCCUACAUGAAGCUGGAAUCGCUAGUAAUCGCGGAUCAGCAUGCCGCGGUGAAUACGUUCCCGGGCCUUGUACACACCGCCCGUCACACCACGAGAGGUUGUAACACCCGAAGUCGGUGGGCUAACCUUUUUGGAGCCAGCCGCCUAAGGAGAUACCGAUGAUUGGGGCGAAGUCGGAACAGGAUAGCAGUAACGGAAGGCCGUGUUGGAUCUCCUCCU